rnacentral:rRNA from 1 species
AACGAACGCUGGCGGCAGGCCUAACACAUGCAAGUCGAGCGCCCCUUCGGGGGAGCGGCGGACGGGUUAGUAACGCGUGGGAACGUGCCCAGAUCUACGGAAUAGCCUUUGGAAACGAAGAGUAAUACCGUAUACGCCCUUCGGGGGAAAGAUUUAUCGGAUUUGGAUCGGCCCGCGUUAGAUUAGUUAGUUGGUGGGGUAACGGCCUACCAAGACGACGAUCUAUAGCUGGUUUGAGAGGGUGAUCAGCAACACUGGGACUGAGACACGGCCCAGACUCCUACGGGAGGCAGCAGUGGGGAAUCUUAGACAAUGGGCGCAAGCCUGAUCUAGCCAUGCCGCGUGAGUGACGAAGGCCUUAGGGUCGUAAAGCUCUUUCGCCAGGGAUGAUAAUGACAGUACCUGGUAAAGAAACCCCGGCUAACUCCGU